AUGGAAGGGAACCCAAGACACAUCCAGAGGAGCUCCAUGAGAUGUGCGGGCUUGCCUAAGUCUGCACCAACAGUCCCUGGCAAGGCCGGAGGUCAGCGGGGCUGCCACCAGGCAGAAGGGGGCCCUCGCUGGCUGCCUGGGCGCCCACCUUGUGAAGCCCAGGCUCCAAGCGGCUUGACGCCCCCCUGGCCUUCGCCUGGCCUGCUUCACCAGCUCCAGGUACUCCUGCACCUUCCGCGGCGCAAAGGCCGCGGGGCCCGCGCUUCCACAGUUGCCACACGGCCCCGGGAGCGGGGAAGGACGGUUGGCGGGAAGCCUGGGUGCUGGGGUCUGGAAUUUGGGGCACAGCGGGAGGCCUCCCGAGGCCCUGGGCCCGACGCCGNNNNNNNNNNNNNNNNNNNNNNNNNNNNNNNNNNNNNNNNNNNNNNNNNNNNNNNNNNNNNNNNNNNNNNNNNNNNNNNNNNNNNGGCGGUCCGGGGCGGGGGGCGACGGCGAGGACGACGGGCCGGUGUGGAUCCCCAGCCCGGCCAGCCGCAGCUACCUGCUCAGCGUGAGGCCCGAGACCAGGGAAGAAAUCCAGACCCAACAGAGGAGAACUCUCUCAAUUACGAGGAGAAAGGCAAAGGAAGUUCAUGGUCAGGAAAGGAUGGAGUUGGUCAGUGUCUGGGAACCAUGCCCACCGGCCUCCAGAGGAUUUUUAAAGCUCUGAGCAAAGGCAGCUGCUUCCUUGCUCUUCCCAUCUUCUCUGGAGCAGCGGCUCCCUCUGGGGGGCACCCUUCCUGUUUGAAAGAUGCUCUUGCAUACCCUCUCUCUUCCUUCUUUCUCUCUCUCUCUCCCCUCCAUAAAACAGCUGUUGAAUGCCCGCUGUCUGCUGAGCACUGUGCUGGGAGUAGGAAAGCUACAAAAAGAGCUAGGUCUGAAGGCGGGGCGGACAGGGGUUAGGUGAGCAGAAGGAAGGAGCAAGGGCCUUCCAACCAGGAGGACGGAAGUAUGGGCUCAGAAGCCAGGAGUGGACAUGUCCAUGGCAGUUAGGGACACGUCUGGUUCCAGGGGAAUGUGGGUGUUGGGAAGUAGAGAACCAUGGUUGUAGUGGGGGUAUGAGCUGAUCGGGGAGGGCCUGAAGUGCCCAGUUAAGGAGUUGAGACUCAGCGGGGAGAUUGUCGCAUCUUUUUCAGGGAAGUGGUGUGAUAUGGGGGGGUGAAGGAGGAUGGGGCUGAGGUGGUCAUCAGAUAUGGAGCCAUGGGGGUCUAGAUCAGGACACAACAGCAGGAGUAGCGAGAAAGGGAGAAAGAAGGGCCACGAAUUGUUGACCGGCGGGACUUGGGAGCUGGAGGAGAGGGAGGAGUUCGAAGUAGAUUUACAGUUUGGAGCUCGGGAGGAGGCUGGAGGUGGCCACGGACCCAGGAGCCCUGGACUGGAAGCCGUGUUUUGAGGCAAAGGAGGGGUUUGGGGUUUUGGUUAUAAAGGGACAGGCUUUCUUGUGGUUGGAGAAGUAGACACGAGGGCCGCAGAGCAGGCUGAGCUGCUGGUCACAGAGGGAGAGCUAUCCCAGUAGGGCCAGCUGAAGGGGGUCAGUAUGGAGGGGGUGGCCCCAAGGUCUCCCAAAGGGCUGUGGGACAGUGGUCCUAGACUCCCAUGAGGUGUCCGUGUUAGGAAAGGUGGAGGGAGAAGCAAGUGGGGUGGUGUCGCUGUGUGGGUCCUCAGCCCCCAGUGGCCAGUGUAGCCCCCAGCUACUGUCCAUUUUGAGCUGCCCCGGGCAGGAGGGGUGAUUGGGGCCUGUAGGCAUAGUGGGCCUUGUGCUGGUCUGACCGAGCCGGGUGCCUCAUGGCUCCUGCUGAAUUAACUGCUUUGUUUUUCUCCUCCUCUUCUCUCUUCCAGCCAGUUUGCCUUGUGUGGCCCCUUUAACCAUACUUUAACCUAUCAAUGGGUGUUCUCCAAGCCACCUGUGUCCUUCCCAGCGUGGUAGUGGAUUUCUAGGAAUGGGGGCUCUUCUCCCCCAAAAGGCCGAGGGUUGAAGCAGGAGCUGCCCCCAGGCUGAUGUGUUGUGGGGUGGGGGCCGUGCCAGGCAGCCAUGAGCCCCUCUCUGGGGGCCAGUGACCCAAGUGCCUGGGACACAUUUUUCUCAAAGCGCAGCCCCAAGGGGCCUCCUUCCCACCUAACCAUCCCCCUGGACUCUGCCGCACUUAACGAGCUCUCGGUUUCAGAUGCACUGGUGUCUGAUGGUGAGGCCACUUGCUAACCGGAGCAGGCCAACUAAGACAGCUGGUCCCUUUUAAUAGAAAGGCCUUGGGCCCCAGAUGGUGGCCAAUUAAUACUCUACAGAAUGUUGUUGGUUUCGCCUCCUUUCCUUGCUUUUUGGGCCUAAUGAUUCCAUUUGCUGUUUUCGCUUAGCUUAUCAAGCAACCGGUUGUCUCACCCCAGCUCUGGAAGGUAAACGCACAUUGCAUUACAUUUCUCUGACUGCUUUUUUUUCUUGGGUCUGGGCAUUGAAGGGCCUCGGGGUGACAGCUUGUGCACUAACGGGGCUGCAUGGGGUGAGGGGAGGGCUGGAGGGCGGCGGGCGGGGAGUGUGAGAGGGCACUCUUGUGAGCACGGGUCUCGCAGGGACCAGAGUUGAUUUCUGCAUGGACCACCGAAAGGCUUCCGGGGACCCAGAAACAGGCAAGGCUUCCUGAGGUGCCUGCUGCCAUGUCUCUGUGCCCCCGGGAGAGGCACCACGGGGCCCAGACAGGAGCCACCAGGCAUGGGACCCACUUCCCAAUCCGAGGUCUCCACGAUGUUUGUAAUCCCAUGUCUAGGUGGGACACCUUAUGGUGGAUCUUCUGACGGUGGUGCCUGCCCUACAUGGUCCCCCCAGUCCCUUAAGUUCUUCUACCACCUCCUUCUCUCAUUCCCCUCUCCUUCAGCUCUCUCCACCACCGUGCGCAGGACUGUGCACUCUGUGAGGGCAGGGAACGCCUCGUUAGCAUAGUCCUGCACUCGCUUGUUCUCGGACUGUGCUUCAGAGGCAGGGCAGGACCUGAGCAGACCCACGGUCGGUUGGGGUGCACCCAUGGAAUGCCUGUCCUCUUGCCUCCCAAGCUGGGGACAGCUUUUUACUGCUGGCUGAGCUGACUUUUAUAAUCAAAGUGGGAACAUUUCCUGGCUCUCUCCCCCCACUUGGGCCUCAUCCAGACUCUGGUGGAUUUGGGGAGAGUUGCCUACAGUUUCUUUACACAGAGAAAGAUUCCUGAGUAGCCAGCUGGCCCCCCAAAUAGCUAACAAUGCCUACAAGCACGAUUAGGACCUACCAUAUACGUUCCCUUUGAUAUAAGAGAGCGCUGAGGAACCUUUGUUCUGGGUUGGUUCAGGGUCUGCAGGGGUGGAAGAGAAGGCAUCACAAACAAUUCUAAGUGGAGUGCUAAGUGCUAAAAGAGAAAGGACCUUCGGCGUUUAUUUAAAGCAAGGUAAAGAACCAAACCUGAGAGCAGAGUUAAGUUCCUUUGAACACCACGAAAGCCAGCGAUUCUGGUAUUCCUUAGAAACACACGAUGAGGCUGUGAUAUCCUUAUGAAGUCACAGAGUUGGAAAGCCUUGGAGGUGUCCGGGUGGGACCAGACCGUUUCCAGAUGUGUGGACUUCUGGCUUUCCAGGACCCUGGAAGCAGCUCAUUCACAGUCCGUCAGAGUGGUCUGGAGGAGGGGGACAGAAAGUGGGUGACAUGCAGUAGAUAACGUAUGCAGGACUCUCCCUGUCUCCCCUAAUGCACCCCAGACCCACCUCCCAGAGGGCUUUCGGCUAGCCAUGCCUUUGAACAGUCAUGUAUGAUUUUCCCAUGCAAGCAUUUUCUAUAAUGUAGCUUAGAACCCUAGUGUGGGAAGUUGGAGAAGAUGAGUGUUCUUUCCUGCUCAAAGUCAGUAACUAGCUGUGGCUGGAUUAUCUAGCAUGAGCACGGCCUCUGCACAUUUUCCUCGAAGCAGAAUUUCCCCCAUCUUCUCGCGGCAGUCCAUUUCCAGUAGCUUAUUUCCUUAGACUCAUCCAAGCAGCUCAUCCUUACGAGCCUAAGCUGAAUAUUGGCUCCCGGCUCGUGGUCAUGAGUAAGAUAGGGUUCAGGUUAUGGAGGGAGGACCGAAUGAGGGAUGUUUUGAAUUAGAUGCAACAUCACGGAAGUCCAAUUCCUCUUGGCCCAGCAGUUUCUUCUGGCAACUGGUGGCUGGGAGUUGGUAUGACCCAAAGUCAGAAAUUUGCUCUUAGUGCGAGACCAGCAAGAAACAUUUUCAUGUUCUCUUCCUGAGUGUCAGGGAGUUGAAGGACCCUCUAUUCCUGAGUCAGUGAGAGGAAAAGGACAAGCCGUGUAUGAGAGAGGAGUUCUAGAUGACAGUGUCACAGGGAGUGGCCUAGAAGCCUGGUUGCAGACCCAGUUCAAGUGUUCAGGUGUGUGAGAGUUUAGGGUCCCCUUUCUGGGCAGCCUUUGUCAGGGAGGGCUCCUGUCAAUGCCCCAAGGGCCCAGGCAUCUGCAUUCCUGUGGAGACACCACAGCUGGAGCCCUGUUGGUCCAGAAGUAUUCCCUGAUUCCAGACGCUCUUCCUGGGAUAGAACCUUUCUCCUCAAACUCAAGUCCAGAAUGACAUGCCCAGAAACGAUGAGCUGAAUGUGGAAGCUCUCGCCACAAAGCACAGGGUUGUAGCCCCUUGUUGCUGCACUCCCACAGAUCCUCCCCGGACCCCUGGUGGAGAGGGCUCGAGCAGACACGCAUUGCCUGGGUGCCCGCCCCUCCUCCGAGGCACGGAGAAAGGCAGACCCUCCUGCUUCUGUUCACUUCUCCCCUCACGGUGCUCACUGCUGCUCACGGUGGGCUGUGUGAGUAGGGAGGGGGAGGGCUGGGCACGGCUUGGGCACCAGACAGCCUGGCUGUGUGGUUACGCUUCACGCCUAGGGACGCAUUGUGUCUCUGCUGGCCCAUGAGAGGGUUUGGCAUGGUGGUUUGCUUCCUGUGCCCAGGAAGGAGAGGACUACAUGCUAAGCAGUGUCAGCGAGUCCGUGCUGGACUCAGUGAGGCUGCAAAUGCCCUUGAAUUCUGGGCAGUAGACUGUCACAAUGAACUCAGAGUCCUGGCUUUUGCAGGGAUGGAUCUAUGUAUGGUUUGGCAGUUGUGCUGGUUGGUCUUAGGCCUGGCGGCCGUGUAUUCACUUGAGCACGUGGUACCCAGGCACCCAAGAGCAGACUCUCUUUUCUGAUCCCCUACGAUUAGAGUCCACCUUUGGAUCUAGACCCCUGGCAUUGGCUGGCUCAUUCUUUGUCUACCAUGGUCUUAUGCUCAUAAAUUUGGGGGCUUUUCUUCUGAGCCCAGACAUUAGGAGUGGCACCUGAACUGUGUAUCCUUGAGAAUUGACUGGUUUUUCCCUCUUUGGCAUGAAUGGAAGCUCUGCUGUGCUGGGGUCUCUAUCUCUGAGGCUGGACCUAUCUGUAUGUGUGCCACCCCCAUGCACGAGCUUUCCUGGAGAUAAAUGGUAGAGAGUAAAGCAAGGGCCUCCAAUAAGGAUGGGAAGGGGACCCUAGGGCUGGUGGUUUGGCAUGCUGAGGAGCCUGGCCCAUGGUCAGAAGCCUGCCUAUUGUAAUGGGUCUGGAUCAGGAUUCCAUUCCGCCCCUCUGUACCAUCCCUGCCCCCAACCUGGCCGAGAGAUCUGACUCCCUUGAAGAAAGACUUGCUCAGGUACUGGA
ensembl:lncRNA